GGGGUGCUCGAGUGGCGAACGGGUGAGUAACACGUGAGUAACCUGCCCUUGACUUUGGGAUAACUUCAGGAAACUGGGGCUAAUACCGGAUAGGAGCUCCUGCUGCAUGGUGGGGGUUGGAAAGUUUCGGCGGUUGGGGAUGGACUCGCGGCUUAUCAGCUUGUUGGUGGGUAGUGGCUUACCAAGGCUUUGACGGGUAGCCGGCCUGAGAGGGUGACCGGCCACAUUGGGACUGAGAUACGGCCCAG
rnacentral:rRNA from 1 species